rnacentral:tRNA from 1 species
GAAAGAGGCCAGUAGCAAUAAGAACUGCUAAUUCUUACCCCCACGACUAAAAUCCGUGGCUCAUUCA